AUGUUUUUAGUAUACCAGUACAUUUACCUUCCAAGUAAAAAGCUUAUUAAAAUAAAAAACAUA
rnacentral:tRNA from 2 species